CGACUUCGUGGAUGUCACUGUCAAUCGUUCGCGUCAAGAUGAAGCCCAAGAAUCAUAUUUAUUGGCACCACUCCCAUUUACUAUUCGUCUAAACCGCGAUGCUGGCACACAAACAGAGGUAAUAAGAACCGCUUCUAAGCGUGCUAAACGUUUCAUCUCUGAUGGUCCCGAUGCAAAGCGUCCAAUACGUUUCUAGUGAAUUUUUCAUUUUGUUGAAAACUAAAGACACAGUUAAUUUCAUAUUUAAAAUUCAUUUCAAAAAACGUUUUUAGCUAUUCAGCUUAUCAUUCAAAUGGAUAAAAAAAAAAUAUAUAGCAGUUUGAAAAGAAAAUUGUAUUAAAGAGUUUACAUAUGUUUAGGAUGACAAGCAAACACUUCUUAUUUUAAUCUUAACAAUUGGAUCAAAAGUAAGUCUAAUAUCAAAUUAAGCGUCAUCUUAUGCACACAAAUGCUUAUGAUGUCGAGGAACUUUAAGGCAAUUGUUAAAUAAAUAGAUGCUCGACUCAAAAAUCAAAAAAAAAUACAAAAUCAUAAAAUCAAAAAAGCUCCUAGUAAGUUUAUUGGAUUUAAUAACGAGAAUGGAUCAAAUGAAAAUUAAUUUAUUUUUUAAAGGUUUCUAAAGCACAUUUCGUUAAUUUCAACUUGAAAUGUUAAUUCUAAAAUGAAAUAAAAUGUUAAAGCUAAAAGCAAAACAGAAA